UUGUUUUGUAGUAUUUUUUAUUGUGUAUUAGCAGUAUUGUAUAAUUAUCUUAAUUUCUCGUAACUGUCUGCAAUGUGAGUUUAGUAUAUAACUAAUAAUAAAAUGACUUAGGGUACAUUUCUUUCUAACACAAACGAUGCAAAUGGCUUAGCGCGCACAUGUUUUGAUCAUUUGUUUCUAACAUACGUUUGCAAAGUUUACAUAAACUUUGAAAAACUAUGCACUCGCUUAAAAUGCGUCUGCAGUUUUUAGUUUGUCGUUUGUUAGUACAAAAGUUCCAUUUGUUUCUAACUUCAACCUGAUUAAACGAUGCAUUUGUUUCAACGUUUGUAAAAAGUAUGUUUACCAACAACGUGUGCAUGCAUUAUUGAAAGUUCAAACAGGGUCAGUAAACACUGAUUAAACGAUGUAUUUGCUUCUAAUGUUGUAAAAAGCCUGUUUACCAACAACGUGUGCAUGCAUUAUUGAAAGUUCAAACAGAGCCAGUAAACACUGAUUAAACGAU
rnacentral:lncRNA from 1 species